CCUACGGGAGGCAGCAGUGGGGAAUAUUGCACAAUGGGGGAAACCCUGAUGCAGCGACGCCGCGUGAAGGAAGAAGUAUUUAGGUAUGUUAACUUCUAUCAGCAGGGAAGAAAAUGACGGUACCUGACUAAGAAGCCGCGGCUAACUACGUGCCAGCUGGCGCGGUAAUACAUAGGGGGCAAGCGUUAUCCGGAUUUACCGGGGGUAAAGGGGGCGUAGGCGGCGAUGCAAGUCAGAAGUGAAAGCCCGGGGCUCAACUCCGGGACUGCUGUUGAAACUGUGUUGCUAGAUUGCAGGAGAGGUAAGUGGAAUUCCUAGUGUAGCGGUGAAAUGCGUAGAUAUUAGGAGGAACACCAGUGGCGAAGGCGGCUUACUGGACCGUAAAUGACGCUGAGGCUCGAAAGCGUGGGGAGCAAACAGGAUUAGAUACCCGUGUAGUC
rnacentral:rRNA from 1 species